AGAGUUUGAUCCUGGCUCAGGACGAACGCUGGCGGCGUGCCUAACACAUGCAAGUCGAGCGGGGAUUGUGGAGAGCUUGCUCAAAGCAAUUCUAGCGGCGGACGGGUGAGUAACGCGUGAGCAACCUGCCUCAAACAGGCGGGAUAACGCAUCGAAAGAUGUGCUAAUACCGCGUAAGACCACGGCUUCACAUGGAGCUGAGGUCAAAGGAGCAAUCCGGUUUGAGAUGGGCUCGCGUCCGAUUAGCUAGUUGGUGAGAUAACAGCCCACCAAGGCGACGAUCGGUAGCCGACCUGAGAGGGUGAUCGGCCACAUUGGAACUGAGAUACGGUCCAGACUCCUACGGGAGGCAGCAGUGGGGAAUAUUGGGCAAUGGGCGAAAGCCUGACCCAGCAACGCCGCGUGAGGGAAGAAGGGUUUCGGCUCGUAAACCUCUGUCCUAUGGGACGAAGGAAGUGACGGUACCAUAGGAGGAAGCCCCGGCUAACUACGUGCCAGCAGCCGCGGUAAUACGUAGGGGGCGAGCGUUGUCCGGAAUGAUUGGGCGUAAAGGGCGCGUAGGCGGCCUGGUAAGUCUGGAGUGAAAGUCCUGCUUUUAAGGUGGGAAUUGCUUUGGAUACUGCUGGGCUUGAGUGCAGGAGAGGAAAGCGGAAUUACCGGUGUAGCGGUGAAAUGCGUAGAGAUCGGUAGGAACGCCAGUGGCGAAGGCGGCUUUCUGGACUGAAACUGACGCUGAGGCGCGAAAGCGUGGGGAGCAAACAGGAUUAGAUACCCUGGUAGUCCACGCGGUAAACGAUGAGGGCUAAGUGUAGGAAGUAUCGACCCCU
rnacentral:rRNA from 1 species